rnacentral:lncRNA from 1 species
CCGGCGACCUUCCGGCCUCCGCCAGCACUAGCAUGGCCUCUUCCCUGUUCAUGUCCCGUUCUUCCUCAUCUUCACCACUACCGCCGCUGCCGCCCCCUCCGCCGCCGUUCCCGGGGGGUCCGCCGCCAUUUCCAGUUGAGAAAACGACGGUAGCUGGAGAAUGGAGAAAAUUGGUGUGCGUGAGGAUGGGUUCACAUGAGCGAUUGAGCUUGGACUUGAAGAGGAUGAAGGUCCUAUGGUAGGUUAUGAUGGUGAAGCUCUGUAGAGAAGAGUGGCCGCAAUGGUAGAAGUUGGCUUGGGUGUGAGGGCGAAGAGAGAAAGUGCGCGCGGAGAUAUGGGAGAAGGAAGCCAUGGCCAUUUUAGAGAGAGGAGUUGAUGGCAGUCAAAAAUGGAGGGAUUAUGGAGGGAGAGACACAAUUUGAUAAGCUACUUGUUCAUUUGGUCUAUUGUCGCGCGACCCAUUCGGACAACACGAACUAAAUUAUUGGUAACAAAUAACAAUGGAUAAAAUUAUGAGAGAAAAGGGGAAAUAAGUUUUUAACUUUUUUAUUCAUAAAUAUUUAAGUUUUGUAAAUUUAAAAAUAUAUUUAAAUUUUUAAUUUUUUUAAAAUUUAGAUCUAUCGAUUUUUUAUAUUUAUUUGAGUCUGUUAGAUCUAAUGGAAAAAUUAAACAUAAC